ACUGGUGUUACACUUGAACUGCACUGCUCUCAGUCAAUCAGAAUCAAGUAAUUUUUUCAUGUAUGUUAUUAAUGUAUUUAUAUAGUGCACAUAUAAGAUAGCCUCAUGGUGGUUUACAGUUCUUCUAUUGGGUGAGAUUGGACAUCAGCUUGUCAAGGCGCCUCUGGCUGCCACUAUCAGUCCAUAGUUGAUCUCACCCACGUCACCCACCCAGCCCAUACAUGAAAUGUUAGAUGAAGCUAGAGAUAGAGAUAGAUUAACACACUGGGAACUACGUCCCCUACUCUUUUCGACAAGUGUGGGGGUUCUGUAACGUCCCCUGCUAACCAUGUAACACUGGGGAUGCAGGGGACGGGGCCUAUGGUUUAUAGUCCUUAUCCGAGAAGACUUGAACGUCUGACCAUUUGCAGAUAUGAUUACAAAGGCAGCACAGUCUCUUCAGUUAUUUUAAGACCCUGAGUGUUGGUCCGGUCUAGGGCUCGAACCCUCGACCUCCCGCACAGCAGACUGGCGCUCUACCAACUGAGGUAAUCAGGCGGUUAACUCAGUUGGUAGUGCGGUUAAAAAGUGACAAAUCUGGUUUGAAAUUUUAGCAGUAAGCUUCAGAUCCUUCACCCCUUACCCAUACGACGGCCAAAGUAACAGAGUUAUAAGGCUUCUUAAAAUUAUUAGACGUGACUUCUUGAUCGAAACAUUCCUCACCUCCUGUUGUAUUCUUCUCGAAACUCUCGAAAUCUUCCGUUCUGUUGAAAGCAUGUUCAAACCUAGAGCUCUUGCUGAACUUGUAAUGGUGUGAAGCUUCUUUCGCUUUCCCUCUGUGCUUUCGCAUUUCGGCUUUUGCGAAAGAUGCACAUGUACAGUUAUGUACGUGUCAACAGAAAUUCAUUUGUCCGCCAUCUUAGAUUUUUCAGUCAUCCGUGAAAACUGGGGCGAGUUUCUUAUUGGGUCAACACAUCGGAACAUCAAGAUAAUAAAAGAAUCGUUCCCUGUUCCGAACUGCUCCCCCGAGAUUUUUAAUAACCUUCUUGAAUGAAAAUGUCCGAUCUUCCCGACCAUGAAACUCUCCCUCUUUCUUCCAUCAGAGGAGGGACGAGUGUCAGAAACUAUUUCUGCCAAAAUUUUCCUAGCACUCCCGGCCAGUUCACACCAGUUGCAAAAUUCAGUCAGACAGGUGAACGGAUUUUGCGUGACUCGAUCAUGACAACGAAGAGACAGGAAACUCGACAUUUCUCGGUUCAUAUCGAUCUGUUCAUGUUAGUCUUGUUCGUAGCCCUAAAUGCCGAAGUCACGCAACAUUGCGUGACUUCGUCCCGAGCGGCUGUAAAGGACAGUAUCGGCUUCAUGUUGUCGUUAGGGAUUGUUAUCACUGAACAAACUAAUAAGAAAUUACAACUUAGAUAUCCUCUUGGACAUCAGGGGUCGGAUUGAGGUGGCAGCCGAAGACUGAAAGACAAAGAAAAAGUUUGUUCAACGUGGCGGGGACAGAUGAUCCCGACGACAUGUCUGACGAAACUUCUAAAAAAUCUACGCCAACACAAGAAGGUCCCAGUGAGGCAACUCCCCCGCCUUAUGAACCCCCGCAACCUGGAUACCUCCCAGCUGAGCUAGUUGAUCCACCACCCCAGGUAGGGUACUCCCCGACAGGAGACCAGUCAGCAAGUUUCCACGACAUCCGCGCGAUCGAUGUUGUAGAUCGACCUGCACCGCGCAUUGCACGGCAAGAGAGCGUUGACUGGCGCAUUGAACUGCGGAACUGCUGUUUAGUUUGGAGCUCAGCCUGCGGCGACAUCUGCAAUGCGAUUGGUUCGUGUAUCUGUUGUUUGCUGAACAUUUGUGAGUGCGACUCUUCAACACCUGGCGAUGAUGAUUGCGGCAACCUUUUUGAAUGUCUGUGUACAUGUCUGAUCGAUGACUGACCUUGAUCAAGAGUAGUGAAAGAGAGAGUGCAGGAGACCACUCAGGGUUCCUGAUAGAUAUUACUGUGUGAUACAGUGUACUAAUUGAACUGCAACGCUGUCGCCGAUGAGAUAUAACCGCUUUGAAUCUUUUAUCCUCCUUAGUGGAACUGAGCCUUUAUACGCAUGGCGGAAGAACUAGAAGUAGUUGUAGAAAGUGAAUAGUUUUGUGAGAUCAUAUUUGUCAUGGCAUGUCCCUGGCUCUCCGUUAUGGUUAUCUAGCCGUGGCAACGGAGUGUGACAAAACCCCCUUAACCAAACCGUGGCAAAUUUAAUUUCCACGUUAAUCAGUCUAAAAGACACACAACCUGUUUUUAAUAAUUAUUACGAUUACUAUGACUAUUAGUAUUCACAAUAAAGUUGACAGUUACUCGUGAUAAUA